rnacentral:rRNA from 1 species
AUUGAACGCUGGCGGCAGGCCUAACACAUGCAAGUCGAGCGGAUGAGGGGAGCUUGCUCCUGGAUUCAGCGGCGGACGGGUGAGUAAUGCCUAGGAAUCUGCCUGGUAGUGGGGGAUAACGUCCGGAAACGGGCGCUAAUACCGCAUACGUCCUGAGGGAGAAAGUGGGGGAUCUUCGGACCUCACGCUAUCAGAUGAGCCUAGGUCGGAUUAGCUAGUUGGUGGGGUAAAGGCCUACCAAGGCGACGAUCCGUAACUGGUCUGAGAGGAUGAUCAGUCACACUGGAACUGAGACACGGUCCAGACUCCUACGGGAGGCAGCAGUGGGGAAUAUUGGACAAUGGGCGAAAGCCUGAUCCAGCCAUGCCGCGUGUGUGAAGAAGGUCUUCGGAUUGUAAAGCACUUUAAGUUGGGAGGAAGGGCAGUAAGUUAAUACCUUGCUGUUUUGACGUUACCAGCAGAAUAAGCACCGGCUAACUUCGUG